UUUGCCGUAACGCAGAUAACAGCGCCAGCACGCGGAAGUAUAUCGAACCGCCGUCAUGCGGUUGAGUGGGGGAUAAAACGCUGCAAAGCGCGCACAAGGAGAGAGAAAGAGCGAACGAGAGAAAAAGACCUGCUGACUUCUCGUAGCUUCCUCAUAUCGCAAUCGUGAUUGUCGUCAAGUUAACCCCGGCUGAUUGUUUCCACUUGCACGCACAACGUGGAACGCCUUGAUGGAACAGUCAAGACAGUAGCCUCACGGUCUGGGAUCAUUCUGUAUAAUCAGUCUGCGGUAGGGAGUUGUCUUUGUCAUCGACCAAAGUUCAUGUCUUCCUUCCACUUCUUCCUUCCUGGCGCCACGCAGCACAACUUCAUCGUAACGUUACUGAGUUCUAAGACGAACUAGAACGAGCCUUCAAAGAAUGGGGUGUCUUUCGAUCGGAAAAGGACAAACAAAUGACAUGGGUUAGAUUUCCUUAUUUUUUCUAGUUAUUCGCUAACUGGUUGGCGUAAGAAAGAGACAGAGAGCCUCACAUUCGAUAUGUGUCCUCUUUCAAAUUGUGAACCUAGUGUUCCUUAUUUUAAAUAACGGUAGACUCCGAUAAAGUGGUCAUAAAUAUUCGACGAUUGUUCUCUCUAUGAAGGCCAAUUUUCCUCUUAUACUUAUUUUUUCUUCCACAUUGUUGUAUUUGAAUAAUAUACAACGGAUAUCCUUUCGAACGCCCACGUCGAUCGUAAUUAUUACAAGAAUAAUGGCAUAACUAGAUAAGUACUUCGAACUUUUUAUCAUUUCGUUGUCAGAGGAAAUUAUUUUUUUAAACGAACAACAUUAGUUUCAGGAGUUUGCAUAGAAUUUAUUUUAGAGAAAAAUUUCUUUCGAAUAUAAUACCAGAGUGUGUAUGUAUUUAAAAAAUUACUUGUUAGGCAGUUCGGAGAAAAUCCGUGAUUAAUCUCGAAGUAAAAAUGAAAAGAUCUUCUAGUAGUAUUCCACUCGCGCGAUGAAGAAGUGGACACAUGUCGGUGGACUAUAAAAUUUCCAUACAGAACCAAUAAUGCAAUGUUGUCGAACAACGCAAUUUGUCUAUAUUUUCGACGGAACCACUUUCCAGACCGCCUAUGCGCGCGCGCACGCGAUGCAAAUUCAAACGUCAGAGAUAUUAAUUGUGCAUUUCGACCGAUGCUCAUCGUGCUCAUUUGGAUUUUUCCUGUUUAUUUAAUCGGCGAA